UUUUGACUGAUAGAUUUUGUUUAUUCUCUGAAGAUCCCAGCUAAGCACCUCUCUGCCAUUUUCUUUUUUGUAUGGAAUAGGUUAGUGAAGAUAACAGGGCUGGAACCCAGGGUUCUCAGUGUUCCAGUCAUCUUAGAAAUGUGAUUUGGAUUAAAACAAAAGUUGAACUUAAAGGAAAAUAACUCUUCUUUAGAUUUUCUCACUCUUUUGGAGUAAGUUACAGUGCAGGACAACAUUAAGAACUUUUUAGUCAAAAUGUUUUCUUAGUGACCUUUCAGUUAAAUGUGCUGCUUACCAGAACAACUUCAAAUGGAUGCUACAAUUUGUUUUUACAAUUUUGCUUUACAAUAGUGGAUUGCAUUGUUCCUUUUCCACACUAGAGAACUAAGCAGAAGGUUCUCCUGCCAGAGUCUGGUCUUUUCACACCUUUUCUUGCCCAUUUCAUUUUUCCUUCCAUUUUUACAUUGAUCAACGAUUGGCCAGUUCUGAAAGCCUGUCAUCCUUAAAGCUGGUAACUAGGGAGCCUCUCAAUUAUAGUGUUUUUUUAAGCUUUCAAGGAGCAAACUGGCACGUGUUUGAGAUACUAAGCUGAUUUCACGUUUGACAUAAAACUCCAAAAGCUGGUGUAUAUUCAGGAGAAUGAUGGAAAAGUGCUCAGUGUUUUACCCUCCUCUUUUCUUUCAAACCAAAACCAAAAAAAACCAACCCUGAAGAUUAGGCCAAAAUCCGGUUGAUUUUAUUUUUGGUUCAAUUAAAUGGACUGUACUUAGAUAUUCUAAUAAUCUUCCCGUAGUGUCUGAUUCCUCUUACAAUAAAGAAAUACAUAAUGCUGUUGGGCAAUAGGACUUUAAGGGCAGAGGGAGGAGGUGUGUUUGCGUAGAUACAUAAAUUUGCAUCUAUACAAGUUUGUCUUGAAGGUGGAACAACUUUGUCAAUGUUACAGAGACUGCGGUUACAAUAAAAACUAUUUAAAGUCUUUACUAUGAGGUACUAAAAAUGAGAGUAAAUGGCUCAAUUCUGAUACUUUUACGAAGGCACUAGACCAAGCUGUACGCGGGUACUGCAGUCCCUUCCAUGUUUCUAGCACAGCAGAGAACCAACCAGUGCAGCCACAUCUCUAACAACCAACAUAAGUGCUUGGGAUUCAUAAUAAUGUAAUCUAGCACAAUCACAUGUGAAGUGUUCAGUCACCAUUAUGACGAUGCUGACAUGAUAGUAUCAAAAGCAGGACAAAGAGUUAAUGACUAAUUACAAGGUGGCAGUAAACACCUCUGACUUUCACAAUUCAGCUACAGUCCCAAUUUUGCCUGAUUUGAGGGAAGACUUUUCCAGUUGUCAGCAUAAGCAGAGUAACGAUGCAUGCUCC
rnacentral:lncRNA from 1 species